rnacentral:rRNA from 1 species
GACGAACGCUGGCGGCGGGCUUAACACAUGCAAGUCGAACGGAAAGGCCCUGCUUUCUUGGGGUGCCCGAGGGGCGAACGGGUGAGUAACAGGUGAGUAACCUGCCCUUGACUUUGGGAUAACUUCAGGAAACUGGGGCUAAUACCGGAUAGGAGCUCCUGCUGCAGGGUGGGGGUUGGAAAGUUUCGGCGGUUGGGGAUGGACGCGCGGCUUACCAGCUUGUUGGUGGGGUAGUGGCUUACCAAGGCUUUGGCGGGUAGCCGGCCUGAGAGGGUGACCGGCCCCAUGACGACUGAGCUACGGCCCAGACUCGUACGGGAGGCAGCAGUGGGGAAUAUUGCACAAUGGGCGGAAGCCUGAUGCAGCAACGCCGCGUGCGGGAUGACGGCCUUCGGGUUGAAAACCGCUUUCGCCUGUGACGAAGCGUGAGUGACGGUAAUGGGUGAAUAAGCACCGGCUAACUACGUG